CAACAGGGUUUUAUCCUCAGAAUCCACUUUUCUCACGAUGUAAUUUUUUGUCAAGUAAUUUGAAAGUUGCUAUCAAAAGGUGGGGCUAAGAUAAAAACUCAGCUGAAUAUUGCAUUUUUUAAGGUCACGUAUCUGUUCUAAAAAGGCGUUAAAAACAUGCGAUGACGUCACACAUUGUCAUACUGUCAGAGGUACUGCUUUACGGCAGUUUCUAAAGCACUUCCCUUUUCCCGCAACGAUAACGCCAGCUGUUGGAGUCGGACCUUGAUGCUGUGACAACGGACAAGUCUUCUUCCUCUGUCCUUUUCCCCUGCCUCUGUUCAGUAUGUUCAGUGUUGUUAAAUCAUUUCUCUUUUUUUUUUAUUAGUUACUGUUCUUAUUGUGUUCUUGUUAGUGUGAUGUUUGAAUAAACUUGCCUGUUGCAAUGUU